UGUAAACCUGAUCGGAGGUAGGCUGAUCUUCGUACAUGUCCCAUGGGAUCGAUUUUCAAAAUAUCUCGGCACUUCUGUUCCGGAGUAAUAGGUUAAGGAAGAAAGGGAUCAAUGAAAAAGAAGGUAUCAGGCGAAAUGAUAGCUGCAUUUGUCUACAUCACGCCAAUAAUUAUCGGAAUAAUUUUAUUAGACUAUGUUAGUAGCUUAGCAAGGAUGAGAUAUGAUCAUGAAGAGUACAAUGAAGUGUAGACGACAGAAAGGUUCUUUCAGAGGAGUGGGAAAGAGGAUGCUUGUUAGUAAUUUACGGGGAAAAUACAGCUGAAAUGCGAAAACUCACCAAGUACUCAAAUCCUUGCCUGAUGUUCCUGCGACCUCCCUGAGAGCUUCUCUCCAUUUUUGAAUCUUUGCCGCCAUUGCUCUAUUCUUGCUGGA